rnacentral:rRNA from 1 species
CUACGGGAGGCACCAGUGGGGAAUAUUGCGCAAUGGGCGAAAGCCUGACGCAGCAACGCCGCGUGAGUGAUGAAGGCCUUCGGGUCGUAAAGCUCUGUCGGGAGGGAAGAACACCUUCGGGUCUGACGGUACCUCCCGAGGAAGCACAGGCUAACUCCGUGCCAGCAGCCGCGGUAAUACGGAGUGUGCAAGCGUUGUUCGGAAUUACUGGGCGUAAAGCGCGCGUAGGCGGCUUGAUAAGUCAGAUGUGAAAUCCCUCGGCUUAACCGAGGAACCGCAUUUGAAACUGUCAGGCUUGAGUACGGGAGGGGGAAGCGGAAUUCCCAGUGUAGAGGUGAAAUUCGUAGAUAUUGGGAGGAACACCAGCGGCGAAGGCGGCUUCCUGGACCGAUACUGACGCUGAGGCGCGAAAGCGUGGGGAGCAAACAGGAUUAGAUACCCCGGUAGUC